UACGAAGGACCCGAGCGUUAUCCGGAUUUAUUGGGCGUAAAGAGCUCGUAGGUGGUUUGGUAAGUCGGAUGUGAAAUCUCCAGGCUCAACCUGGAGGGGUCAUUCGAUACUGCCAUGACUAGAGGUCGGUAGGGGAGUGUGGAAUUCCUGGUGGAGCGGUGAAAUGCGCAGAUAUCAGGAGGAACACCAAUAGCGAAGGCAGCUCGCUGGGACGGUACUGACACUAAGGCGCGAAAGCGUGGGGAGCGAACAGG
rnacentral:rRNA from 1 species